AUUUUUGGACUUUUUUGUAUGUGUUCUUGUUUUGUCGUGCAUUGUUCUUUUCUGCACAUCUCCUUCAAUUCUGUCUUUUAUUGUCAUAGUCCCACACCCUUUCGUCACACGAGUUUUUGCAUAUUUCCCAUUCAUCCCAUUGUUUAGUGUAAGGCGAUAGGAGAACGAGCAAACGAUGGCACGGAUAGUCAAAUAUAAACAAAAAUAACAACGGCAGUGUUUAAGUGCCUCCAAUAACUUGGAACAGAUUUGAAUGAAUUGCUUUGACGCCAAAAAAAUGAAAGCUUGUACAUAUGCGAGAGACACACCAAGUAUUGGAUUUUUUUUUGUUUUAAUUUGACAAGCGUUUACCUCUUCAACGAGAAUCUAGUAUAAGCACGCAGAUGAUGAUUUUGUCAAGCACAGCGCUCCCCACCAUACCAUCCGGCGACUUUGGCAAUUGAAUUGAACGAACGGACAUGCAAGUUAUUUUCGUUUAGGAAAACUUUUGACUUUUGUGUUUGUUUUUGCAAUGGAUCUAACACAACCAAGCACACAUGGCACAACAAGUUAUGCAAAACAGAAGAGCAAAACGAUUGUGGAAAAUAUUUUUCUUUUAUUUUAUUUUUGAUUGAUACGUGAUCCCGGGGUAAUCUUUUGCAUAAUUGAUCACAAAUCCCAAAUUACACCCACUAAUAUUGUAACGCCAAUACAAAAUGUCCCUUACCCUUAUAUGUCCCUUACUUAUAUUUAUUUGUUGAGCGAUUACGUUUCAAAUCUUAAAUAGAAGUGAAAUUAUA
rnacentral:sRNA from 1 species